UAGGGAAUCUUCGGCAAUGGGGGGAACCCUGACCGAGCAACGCCGCGUGAGUGAAGAAGGUUUUCGGAUCGUAAAGCUCUGUUGUUAAGGAAGAACGAGUGUGAGAAUGGAAAGUUCAUACUGUGACGGUACUUAACCAGAAAGGGACGGCUAACUACGUGCCAGCAGCCGCGGUAAUACGUAGGUCCCGAGCGUUGUCCGGAUUUAUUGGGCGUAAAGCGAGCGCAGGCGGUUAGAUAAGUCUGAAGUUAAAGGCAGUGGCUCAACCAUUGUAGGCUUUGGAAACUGUUUAACUUGAGUGCAGAAGGGGAGAGUGGAAUUCCAUGUGUAGCGGUGAAAUGCGUAGAUAUAUGGAGGAACACCGGUGGCGAAAGCGGCUCUCUGGUCUGUAACUGACGCUGAGGCUCGAAAGUGGGGGGAGCGAACAGG
rnacentral:rRNA from 1 species